UACGUAGGGGGCUAGCGUUGUCCGGAUUUAUUGGGCGUAAAGAGCGUGUAGGCGGCCAGGUAGGUCCGUUGUGAAAACUCGAGGCUCAACCUCGAGACGUCGGCGGAAACCAUCUGGCUAGAGUCCGGAAGAGGAGAGUCGGAAUUCCUGGUGUAGCGGUGAAAUGACGCAGAUAUCAGGAAGAACACCCGUGGCGAAGGCGGCUCUCUGGGACGGUACUGACGCUGAGACGCGAAAGCGUGGGGAGCAAACAGG
rnacentral:rRNA from 1 species